CCCUAAACCCAAAUAUUUAAUAUACAAAAAUAUCCGCCAGAGAACUACGAGCAACAACGCUUAAAACUCAAAGGACUUGGCGGUACCUCAAACCCACCUAGAGGAGCCUGUUCUAUAAUCGAUGAUCCACGAUACACCCCACCAUCUCUUGCCAAUACCGCCUAUAUACCUCCGUCGCCAGCCUACCCCAUGAGGGAAUAAAAAGUAAGCAAAAUAACUAAACAAUACAGCUAAUAAGUCAGGUCAAGGUGUAGCUAACGAGAUGGAAGAAAUGGGCUACAUUUUCUAUACUAGAAAUUAAUUCACAGAAGGAAACCAUGAAAUUGAUCCCAUAAGCAGGAUUUAGCAGUAAACCCGGAUCAGAAUGCCUAAUUUAAACCGGUCCUGAGGUGCGC
rnacentral:rRNA from 1 species